CCCCAGACUCCUACGGGAGGCAGCAGUGGGGAAUAUUGCACAAUGGGCGAAAGCCUGAUGCAGCAACGCCGCGUGAAGGAAGACGGUUUUCGGAUUGUAAACUUCUGUUCUUAGUGAAGAAUAAUGACGGUAACUAAGGAGCAAGCCACGGCUAACUACGUGCCAGCAGCCGCGGUAAUACGUAGGUGGCAAGCGUUGUCCGGAAUUACUGGGUGUAAAGGGAGCGUAGGCGGGAAGCCAAGUCAGCUGUGAAAACUACGGGCUUAACCUGUAGACUGCAGUUGAAACUGUAGUUCUUGAGUACUGGAGAGGCAGACGGAAUUCCUAGUGUAGCGGUGAAAUGCGUAGAUAUUAGGAGGAACACCAGUGGCGAAGGCGGUCUGCCGGACAGCAACUGACGCUGAGGCGCGAAAGCGUGGGGAGCAAACAGGAUUAGAUACCCCAGUAAG
rnacentral:rRNA from 1 species